rnacentral:lncRNA from 1 species
CUCUAUAGUAGUGAAUCUGUUAGUAGAGCUGUUCAUUAGUCUGGUCCUGGUUAUAGACUCUAUAGUAGUGAACCUGUUAGUAUAGCUGUUCAUUACUCUGGUCCUGGUUAUAGUCUCUAUAGUAGUGAAUCUGUUAGUAGAGCUGUUCAUUAGUCUGGUCCUGGUUCUAGUCUCUAUAGUAGUGAAUCUGUUAGUAGAGCUGUUCAUUAGUCUGGUCCUGGUUAUAGACUCUAUAGUAGUGAAUCUGUUAGUAGAGCUGUUCAUUAGUCUGGUCCUGGUUGUAGUCUCUAUAGUAGUGAAUCUGUUAGCUGUUCGUUAGUCUGGUCCUGGUUCUAGUCUCUGUAGUAAUGAUCCUGUUAGUAGAGCUGUUCAUUAGUCUGGUCCUGGUUAUAGACUCUAUAGUAGUGAAUCUGUUAGUAGAGCUGUUCAUUAGUCUGGUCCUGGUUGUAGUCUCUAUAGUACUGAAUCUGUUAGUAGAGCUGUUAAUUAGUCUGGUCCUGGUUGUAGUAUCUAUAAUAGUAGUUGCAGUGAAUCUGUUUAGAUAAAUGCAUGUCUGAAUCCAGCAUGCCAUCUACAACACAAACCAUAUACUGUAGGAAGGAAGGAAAAAGCAAACAAACAAAUGUUUGAACAAGUGAAUGAAUUGCUACUCACAUUCACAUUGAGCCUCUGAGGUCCCAGGUUGUUGUCGGUCUGUUUUGAAGACGGCGGUGCAGUUCUGUGCGAGGCCGAGGCAGAGAGUAAAGAAGGUGUAGCUACAGUCUGCUGAGCAGCAGGUGAAGCAGCCAUCCAGACACACCUGGCAGGUCAGGCUUCACACAUACACAGAUAGAGAGAGAAAUAGUCACUAACUUUAGUGAGGAAAAAAUAAUACUUAUGAUGAGACAAAUAAAAGAUCCCUUCUGUUUCUGCCCAAAGUUAUUCAACUGCAGCUCAGUCCCCAAUGUGCACUGAGCUGCAGUUCCAAGACACUUGGUCAGAUGACUUUCUCAACCACAUCCGACUUCCUCCUCUUCUGCUGGCUGGACUAUGCCUUC